AGUGAACGCUGGCGGUAGGCCUAACACAUGCAAGUCGAACGGCAGCACAGUAAGAGCUUGCUCUUACGGGUGGCGAGUGGCGGACGGGUGAGGAAUACAUCGGAAUCUACUUUUUCGUGGGGGAUAACGUAGGGAAACUUACGCUAAUACCGCAUACGACCUACGGGUGAAAGCAGGGGAUCUUCGGACCUUGCGCGAUUGAAUGAGCCGAUGUCGGAUUAGCUAGUUGGCGGGGUAAAGGCCCACCAAGGCGACGAUCCGUAGCUGGUCUGAGAGGAUGGUCGGCCACACUGGAAGUGAGACACGGUCCAGACUCCUAAGGGAGGCAGCAGUGGGGAAUAUUGGACAAUGGGCGCAAGCCUGGUCCAGCCGUACCGCGUGGGUGAAGAGGGCCUUCGGGUUGUAAAGCCCUUUUGUUGGGAAAGAAAAGCAGCAGGUUAAUACCCCGCUGUUCUGACGGUACCCAAAGAAUAAGCACCGGCUAACUUCGUG
rnacentral:rRNA from 1 species